CCUCUCUCACAAACAAAACGUUCUGCACUAUACCGCAAAUCCCGAAUUGUUCGGUGGAUCCACGUUUUCUUUUUCUGUGCAUGUAACGCUGUCGGCGAGGAAAAGUGUGAAGAAAAAAGAAAGAAAACACGUUAAGGGUGCGAGCAUUUUUUGAAAACAGCUGUUACUGAAUUUUGCACACGCUUUGAAGGGCAUAUAUUUCGCAUCACAUCCAGUCGGUUUACAAUGCUUUCAGUUCACACUGCGCUGCGGCUACAAAAAUGCAGUCUUUUCAGCGAAAAAUCUGUAGCCUUCAAAAGAUUUUCAGUUGCUUUAAUCUUUCAGCUACCUGCGAAGCACAGUGAUCUUGACAAGAGCAAAGCGUUCAGCGUGUUUUUCUGUUACCGACAGAAAAGCAGACAAGGCGAAAAGCUAUUUAACUUUUUUCCCGUUUUCUUCUACUUCUGCCCAUUCAAGGAGUGGCUUUCUUCUGCUUCCUGGAGGCAUUGUAACUGAAGUACGACAGCUAAUCCAGAGAAGUGUUGCUACAUCCUGAGCAUGGCCGGCUACGGCAAGCAGUUCCAUCACCACCACCACCAUCGUCCUUAGUUUCUGGCCAACCUAACAUCAGGGGCCUGCCCUGUAUGCACCUUCUGGACGCGCUAGAUAAGGCAGCUACGCCUCCGGCUUGCGUGGUCAUCUCUGUGCGCAUCUCCCUAGAGGAGUCUUUAUGUUAAUAAAUUCUUCUCAGAGU